rnacentral:rRNA from 1 species
CUGAUCCAGCGACGCCGCGUGAGUGAAGAAGGCCUGCGGGUUGUAAAGCCCUUUCGGUGGGGAAGAAAAGCCUCGAGCUAAUACCUCGGGGUCUUGACGUCACCCAUAGAACAAGCACCGGCUAACUCUGUGCCAGCAGCCGCGGUAAUACAGAGGGUGCGAGCGUUAAUCGUGAAUUACUGGGCGUAAAGCGCGCGUAGGCGGCUUUGCUAAGUCUGGUGUGAAAUCCCCAGGCUUAACCUGGGAACUGCAUUCGAGACUGCAUUGCUAGAGUAUGGGAGAGGGAAGUGGAAUUUCCGGUGUAGCGGUGAAAUGCGUAGAUAUCGGAAGGAACAUCAGUGGCGAAAGCGACUUCCUGGACCAAUACUGACGCUCAUGUGCGAAAGCGUGGGGAGCAAACAGGAUUAGAUACCCUGGUAGUCCACGCCAUAAACGAUGAGAACUGGAUGUCGGGAGGGUCUGCCUCUCGGUGUCGUAGCUAACGCGUUAAGUUCUCCGCCUGGGGAGUACGGCCGCAAGGUUGAAACUCAAAG